AGCAUCAAUUCGCAAGUAAUAUUAGCUAAGUUACUGUAACGUUUUUUCAGCAAUGAGUAGUGCAAUCUUAAAAUUCAUUAACGUUACAGUUACUAAUCCCAGGACAUGCCUGUUACUUUGACAUUUUGGUGGAUUCGCAUUGUUUGUUGUCUUACCAGAAGUUGAAUGAGAGUUGAUAACAAUUUCUUCAAUUUCUUCUGGGGCGUGUUAGCUUGGUGCAAGAGACGAGGUGCAGUUUUUUCUUGUCCUUUUUCAUGGUGUUUCUUCUUAGCUAGUUAGCUCCCUGGCAAGCCUCCAUUACCUGCUGUUUCACUGUGAGGGCAAGACUUCUGUAAAACUGCAAGAUGACCACAGUCACUCACCACAGCUAAGUUAACGUUAGCUGUUGAUGCCAUCAUCAGCAACAAUCCCCCAGGAGACGUCCCUCGCUGAUGACAUCAUCUCUCAGCGUGGGAAGUUGAUGGAUCCCUCACCAUUUUGGUGCCCGUGGUUUUGAUGAAGUGGUGAGCAGGUAGCUGAGGGAGGAGGGCCGGCUGCUGGCUAGAUGAUGAAUGUGCCGGUCUGCCGUGUGUCCUCCCUUUUGUUAAUAGAGUGACGGAACCACAUUGGCACCCAGCGAUCGCCACCCCUCCUCUCAGCUGCAACCAGGAAGUGGUCAUAAAGAUACAAAGCCCUUGGCAUCUGAACAGGGUCAGAGAAGCUUUGUAAUUUUUACCUCAUUACAAAGAUGGAACUGUUUUUGUACCGUGGUGCCCUUGGGAUGAAGUCCCUCUGCCUUAAUGCGGGGCUCACACACAACUGAAUUAUGGGCGACAAUCCUUUGACCAUCCUACCUAUUGUGGGUUGAGAUGACUGCUACUGUACAAACUUCACCUCUGGGCCCUCAGGGGGAGAAAAAAAAUCUUAAAUGAUCAUGAUAACACUCAGCUAAUAUUAGUACCUUCAUGCCUUGAGGCAGGAAGUGUGUCGUCAGCUCCGCCCUUCUCCUCCUACUCAAUUGGUCGAGUUCACACCCCCAAUACUUGUCACUCAUCGUGAUGAGCUGUCUCCGUUGAAGCAGCAUCCAGCCUCGGGCUGAGAGAUCCAGCAAUCACUAAACAGAUGAAACAGACAGAAAGGGAUUUUGAAUGUAUCUUUGUGUGAUCUGUCAUGAGCAUUACUAGGGGUACAUAUGACAACAAUACAAGCAGAAAUAUUUAUAGAGAGA